UCCCUCCCUCCCUCCGUCCCCCUCUUCUUAUCUCUUUCUCCCUCUCCCUUUCCCUUAGUCUUCUUCUUUCUCUUUAUGAAUUUUGGCUUCGAAUCUCUCACAACUACCAUGCCCUAAUUGCCUAAUAAGAAAAAACAAGAAAGCGGGAAAGCAUGGAUAGAAGGGUUUGAUUGAAUCUAAAGCCGGGGAAUUUUGUAUAUCUUUAUUAUUUGGAGGUGAAGCGUUGGCUCGAGGCAAAGAUCGAGUAGAGGAUUAGCGUUUGGGGAAGUGGUAUCAUCAAAGUUGUGAGUGGGAUUAAUUAUGCAUAAUUCUACUAGGAGAAUACCUAUAAUGAUUCUAUAUUGCGAAGUAAAGUUUUAUUUUCUUCUAUACUUAAAUUGAGGUUUUGAUUGACUUAAAAUGAGUUUAUUUAGUGAUGUUUUAUACUUGAAAGGUAUUAUUGUUCUAAGGAAAGGAUUUUUUGAUUGUUACGUGAUUCACAAAUUGUGUGUUGAUUUAUGAUAAAAUCAUUGGAUAUACUUGUGCUUAUCAUUUCCGUGGAGAAAUGGCAGAUAUUUUGGAUAUUGAUUUUUGUUCUGGUUAUGGACUCCUCAUUGUGAGAUACAUGUUUGUAUUACUUGGUUGGUGACAUCCUACUGCAGUAGGUGGUUUUCAUGGCCAACCUGUUGAGGUGGCGUGGAAAACCGACAAACGUAUUGGUCCUAUUCAGAUGGGAGUGUAGAGCCCUAUUAGAUGUUCAUCGGGAAGCCGGGGUCACCACACGGUGAACCAAUGGAUCAACAUUAAGGAUAUGAGUUCCUUGAUGGCUCUGAACUUAGCUGCAGCACGAUGAAAGUUUAGAGAGGUUUCUAGACCAUGUUGCGUUCCUUUUGUAGUGUUAUAUUCAAUUUGUGGUUUUGACGGUGAGUAUCUAUUUUAUGGAUUUUGUGACUCGUAUUAUAUAGUUGUUCUAUAUAUAUAUGAGUGGAACUAUUAUGAUCCAUUUGGAUUAUUAUAAAAGUUUGGCUUAAUGUUUAAUUUGUUUUGUAGUAUAAACCCUAUAUUUGGUCUUUCGUGGAUUUGUUGUUGUAAACUCUAGUUGGGGUUGAAAGGCUUACUUGACACUAUCUGUUGUUAUAUUAUAUCGAUGAUUUUUUUUAUGUGUAUCUACAUUCUAAACUGUUGGCUGUUGGUAUUAGUAAAGCAUUAUUUUGGUGAGUUAUUCCGUGUAUUUUGGUGUAUUCUUGUAGUAUUGUGCUAACCCACUCACUGAGUAUAUUUAGUUGCUCACCCCUCUUUUC